rnacentral:rRNA from 1 species
ACACUCCUACGGGAGGCAGCAGUGGGGAAUUUUGGACAAUGGGCGAAAGCCUGAUCCAGCAAUGCCGCGUGAGUGAAGAAGGCCUUCGGGUUGUAAAGCUCUUUUGUCAGGGAAGAAACGGUGAAAGCUAAUAUCUUUUGCUAAUGACGGUACCUGAAGAAUAAGCACCGGCUAACUACGUGCCAGCAGCCGCGGUAAUACGUAGGGUGCAAGCGUUAAUCGGAAUUACUGGGCGUAAAGCGUGCGCAGGCGGUUUUGUAAGUCUGAUGUGAAAUCCCCGGGCUCAACCUGGGAAUUGCAUUGGAGACUGCAAGGCUAGAAUCUGGCAGAGGGGGGUAGAAUUCCACGUGUAGCAGUGAAAUGCGUAGAUAUGUGGAGGAACACCGAUGGCGAAGGCAGCCCCCUGGGUCAAGAUUGACGCUCAUGCACGAAAGCGUGGGGAGCAAACAGGAUUAGAAACCCUGGUAGUCC